AGGAUUAACGCUGGCGGCGUGCAUGAAACAUGCAAGUCGAGCGCGGUGUGAUGCGGGGUAACCCAAUUCACAUCUAGCGGCGAACGGGUGAGUAACACGUGAGCAACCUACCUUUGAGUUGGGGAUAGCCCUGGGAAACCAGGAUUAAUACCCGAUGUGGUCACAACAGGACAUCCUGAUGUGAGUAAAGGCGUAAGCCGCUCAAUGACGGGCUCGCGGCCUAUUAGCUUGUUGGUGGGGUAACGGCCUACCAAGGCGAUGAUGGGUAGCUGGUCUGAGAGGACGAUCAGCCACACUGGGACUGAGACACGGCCCAGACUCCUACGGGAGGCAGCAGUUAGGAAUUUUCCGCAAUGGGCGAAAGCCUGACGGAGCAACGCCGCGUGAGUGAUGAAGACCUUCGGGUUGUAAGCUCUGUCAGAGGGAAGAACACAAUGACGGUACCCUCCAAGAAACGCCCGGACUAACUACGUGCCAGCAGCCGCGGUAA
rnacentral:rRNA from 1 species